UAUCUGCUUUGAUGAUCUAUGAAACCAAUCACAUGUCAGACUUCAGAGAUUCCUUUAAAUAAAGGAAUCAAUGAGAUUGUAGUUCAUAAGUCUGAGCAGUUG